UCGGGAAUUUUGGGCAAUGGAGGGAACUCUGACCCAGCCAUGCCGCGUGUGUGAAGAAGGUCUUCGGAUUGUAAAGCACUUUAAGUUGGGAGGAAGGGCAGUAAGUUAAUACCUUGCUGUUUUGACGUUACCGACAGAAUAAGCACCGGCUAACUCUGUGCCAGCAGCCGCGGUAAUACAGAGGGUGCAAGCGUUAAUCGGAAUUACUGGGCGUAAAGCGCGCGUAGGUGGUUUGUUAAGUUGGAUGUGAAAGCCCCGGGCUCAACCUGGGAACUGCAUCCAAAACUGGCAAGCUAGAGUACGGUAGAGGGUGGUGGAAUUUCCUGUGUAGCGGUGAAAUGCGUAGAUAUAGGAAGGAACACCAGUGGCGAAGGCGACCACCUGGACUGAUACUGACACUGAGGUGCGAAAGCGUGGGGAGCAAACAGGAUUAGAUACCCACGUAGUCCCUGAGCGGGCUGGCAAGGCGCAU
rnacentral:rRNA from 1 species